rnacentral:lncRNA from 1 species
CACAAUUAGCGUUGCCUUGUAUAAAACCAUUCAAUUGAAAUAAAAUAUAAUAAAACAAUGUACGAAUACAUACCACACCCCUCUCCAUUGUAGCUUGGAUGAACUUGUCACCUACAUUUACAAUCAUCCAAUGUAAAAUUCUUGGGUAUUUAUGUACACAAGCAUUUGAAGGAAUAAAACGAUCACAAAACCAAACCUGAAAUACAUCUUAAAA